GGGUAAUUUCGUAGAUUUGAUCGACCUUCCCCCCUCUUCCAGAUUUUCAGAGUUUUUCUCUCUCCUCCUGGAAAUCCUCUCACCGAUUUUCACAGUCGUUCGCCUUCCUCCUCUUUUUUCCUCCAUUUUCGCACUCGAAUUCUUCUCGUCCUCUCCAUUGUGGCACUCGAAGCUUCCACUUUCCUCCAUUGCUGCGCAAUUUUCCUCGCCUAAUUUUUUUUCGACUAUUUACAAUUGAGAUACUUUGAAUUUGAUGAUGGUGGUUUAUUGCAAUGAUCUUGCUGCAAAUAGAAAUCACCAGGAGCUGCACAUGGCUGUAAGAGCGGCUCCUCAAGUGGGACGGCGAAUCUCAAUGAUGAAGCUUCCGUUCUAUUAUCAGUAAAAUCGAGCUUAAUCGAUCCAUUAGGCCGGUUACAUGGUUGCUCCCUGGUAGCAGGAAUGGUUCAGCUCAUUGCAGUUGGACAGGAGUCUUCUGCAAUGAGGUAGGAUUUGUCGAAAAGCUUGAUCUUUCCACAUGAAUAUCAGUGGCAAGGUUUCAGAUGAGUUCCAACAGCUAAAUUCUCUGUCUGUUCUGAACUUAUGCUGUAAUGCGUUCACAAAAUUCGGUCGCAAAUCUCACAUCACUGAAGUCUUUAGAUGUGAGCCAGAAUCAGUUUUCUGGGAUUUGGAAAGUUUGAUGCUUUGACAUAUUUAAAUGCUUCUGAUAACAAUUCUGAGGGUGAUCUUCCUAGUGAUUUAAGCAAUGCUACUCUUGGUCUUGAAAAACCGCUAUCUUGGCGUUGUACCGAACAUGUAAGUAAUGCUUGGCGUUGUACUGAACAUGUAAGUAAUGCCUAUUAGCUCAAUUGGUAGAGCUUUGUGCAUUUGCACAAUGAUGUAGGUUCGAUUCCUUGAUAGGCAACUCUUUGUAUUCCCUUUAUGAUAUUAAUUCUCCUAUUAAAUUAUUCUCUA